ACAUCCGUAAAAUUUGCAACAAACUCAUCUAUGUUGUUGAGUUCACUUUUCAGAGCUACAAGUCACAUCUUUUAUUUCUUACACAAUUUUUUCCUCUACAAGAGGAUUCUUGCAUAGCAUGUAGAAGAACCAUGAAAGAGUGUUUCCCAGCUAUGAUAAAGUUAAGUAUUAUAUCCCUCAAAUACUUAUCAGCAAUACUUGGUUACAAAUUUGGAGUCUCGCUCGCUCAGCAAUUGCUCCUCUGUCCUCUGCCUCCUCGUAUUGUUAGGUUAGAAGGAAUGAAGUCAUUUACGGAUUUGGGUUUAUCUUUUCAAUUGGUGGAAGCUUGUGAAAAACAACUGGUUUGGUAUAAUCCAAUGAAGAUUCAGACAGAAGUGAUUCCCCUUGCGCUACAAGGAAAAGAUGUGUUUGCAAUUUCGCCACCGCGUUCCGGUAAGGUUGGGGCUUUUGUUCUUCCUAUAUUGCAUGCCCUCUUAGAAACCGGACCGAACCUAAACACUUUCUUUGCUUGUGUGCUAUCUCCUACAAGGCCACUUGUUGCUCAAAUUGCUAAAUACUUUAGGGAUCUGGGAUCUCAAUUUGGUGUCAAGGGUGCUGUGCUUGUUGAAACGCCCGACAUGGAAUAUCAAUCUAACCAGAUUUCUCAGCAACCUCAUAUUAUUGUUGGGACCCCUGAACAAGUCUUAAACAACCUAAGACACACCCAAGGAUUUUCUCUUGCUCUUGGUAGAUUAAAAUACCUGGUUAUAGAUGAUGCACACUUGCUGUUGAAUAAUCCCUCCGAGCAACAACUAUAUGAUAUUUUAGAAAUGAUUCCUAGUGAGCGGAGAACAUUUCUUUUUUCAUCUACAUCGACAGAGAAGGUGCAUCCAAUCCAAAGUGUGUGUUUAAGGAAUCCUGUAAAGAUUGACUUAUCUUCAACAUAUUCUAUCUUGGACACACUGCAACAGAAACGCUGCUCAUUGCUAGGAAAUCAUAAGGAUUGCUACCUUGCAUACACUCUCGCUGAAAUGACUGGAUUCACUGAAAGAAAAUCAAUUGUAUUCACCGAGACAUGUGGUUCCACGCUUAUUCUGGCUUUGAUUCUUAAGAAUCUUGGUUUCAGACCCAUCCCGAUUAUUAUUUAUAUGAGUCAGGCAAAGAAACUUGAAUCCUUGAAUGCGUUCAAGUCCGGGGAGUCCAAUAUUCUCCUUUGUAGUGACGUAGUUAGUAAGGGACUAGAUAUUCCAGCGAUAUAUAUGGUGAUUAACUACGGCCUUCCUAGGGAUCCAAACGAUUAUAUGUACCGCGUGGGGACUGCUCAUGCUGAUGUUGCCAUUUCCUUUGUGAGCAAAUAUGAAGGGGGACAGUUCAAUAUGAUAGAGAGACUUAUAGGCAAUCAGCUACCAAUGUAUCCUGCACCAAAUGAGGAUGUUUUGCUUUUGGAAAGGCGUGUUAGUGAGGCCAAAGAAUUUGCACAAAAGGAAACGAAAGAAUUCGGUUGGAAGAGCGGAGGAUACUUAACACAGGAGGAUGUACUACACUGACUAAAUCAAUCAAUCUUUUACUUUCAUAUUUACUUUACAUGAGUCCAGAUCCACUCCAUUACAUUAUCCUCCAUUUCCCUCCAGUUUUCCUCUGAUGAAUGACAUGUGGCAAUUAAAUUUUUUAAUGGAUGAGAUUAAACUUCAGUAUAGGUUCAAUUUUUAUGGUUACUUCUCUGUACGCUUCCUCUUCUCCGUUUGCAUUCAACAGUUUUGCAGUGCCACCGUCGAUGGCCACCACCAUGCCAAAGCUCCGCCACCACUAUGUUUACUGCAGUGCCACCGUCUACACUUUGAUUAAAUGAAAUCUGAUUUUGCAUUAACAAAGUAGAAUUUUUUUUGCAAGCUCAACAUCAACAUAAAUUGCAGUGUUUUGGAAUCAAUAAUAGCAUAACCAACAACAAUAGCGGUGGCCUUGGGGUGGUUUGUGACAGUGGGAUAGAGAUGGACGGCGGGAGAUGAACGGCGGCGCUACGACGGCGGCGGCUAGAAGAUAAAGAGAUCGAUGGUAAAGCAACAAAAACGGGGUGGAUGUUGUUGGUUCACGUUGUUGUCUCGGUAUCUUUCGUUGUUGUUGUUGAGAAGAGGAAGGGUCCAGAGAGUAACCAUAAAAAUUGAACCUAUACUGAAGUUUAAUCUCAUCCAUUAAAAAAUUCAAUUGCCACAUGUCAUUCAUCCGGAGGAAAACUGAAGGGAAAUGGAGGAUAAAAUAAUGGAGUGGAUCUGGACUCACUUUACAUAGUUAUCAUUUUUAUCUCUAAUUAUAUAAUUUCUUGCCGUUUCUCUUUUAUUUUGUCAAACUCCAAUGAACAUAAAUUCUGGUUGGUGAACUUUACAUAUUUUUAAACUUUUAAAUAUAUUUUAAAAAGUAUCUAAUCAAGAGGGAGCUUUGGCGCAACGGUAAAGUUGUUCCUUUAUAUAUUUUUAAAUUUUUAAAUAUAUUUUAAAAAGUAUUUAAUCCAGAGGGAGUCUCAGCGCAACGGUAUAGUUGUUGUCACGUGACUGAAAGGUCACGUGACUGAAAGGUCACGUGUUCAAAUCCUGAAAACAAUGUAAGGGCCAUGUACAAUACACCAAAAUGGCGGGACCCUUCCCGAACCCUGCGUACGCAGGAGCUUUAGUGCACCGGGAUGCCAUUUUGAGGUGGAGCCUUGGGGCAAUGGUGAAGUUGUUGUCACAUGAUAGUAAGGGCACAGGUUCAAGUCCUGUAAACAGCCUCUUGUGUAAAAAACAGGAUAAGGCUGUGUACAAUACUCCAAAUGGUGGGAUCCCUUCCUGCACACUGCGUAUUUUGAAGCUUUGUGCAUCGGGCUGCCCUAAAAAGUAUUUAAUCAUAUUAUUUUAGGUCAAUAAGAUACAAGGUUUCGGUCAAAGAUUCAAGUGGGAAUACUACAGACCAAUUUGGAACAAUUUUAAUUAGUAAGAAUAAAUGUGUUAAUGUAGAAUACUUGUACUGGUUUUUAGUUAUCUGGAAUAAUUUAAUGGUGUUUAUUUUUGCUGUUUCUAA